UACGAAGGGGGCUAGCGUUGCUCGGAAUCACUGGGCGUAAAGGGUGCGUAGGCGGGUCUUUAAGUCAGGGGUGAAAUCCUGGAGCUCAACUCCAGAACUGCCUUUGAUACUGAAGAUCUUGAGUCCGGGAGAGGUGAGUGGAACUGCGAGUGUAGAGGUGAAAUUCGUAGAUAUUCGGAAGAACACCAGUGGCGAAGGCGGCUCACUGGCCCGGUACUGACGCUGAGGUGCGAAAGCGUGGGGAGCAAACAGG
rnacentral:rRNA from 1 species